UGGGGAAUAUUGGACAAUGGGCGCAAGCCUGAUCCAGCCAUGCCGCGUGUGUGAAGAAGGCCUUAGGGUUGUAAAGAACUUUCAGUGGGGAGGAAGGGUGUUGUGUUAAUAGCACAGCAUUUUGACGUUACCCACAGAAGAAGCACCGGCUAACUCCGUGCCAGCAGCCGCGGUAAUACGGAGGGUGCAAGCGUUAAUCGGAACUACUGGGCGUAAAGCGCACGCAGGCGGCUUUUUAAGUCGGAUGUGAAAGCCCCGGGCUCAACCUGGGAAUUGCAUCUGAUACUGGGAAGCUAGAGUAUGUGAGAGGGGGGUAGAAUUCCAAGUGUAGCGGUGAAAUGCGUAGAGAUUUGGAGGAAUACCAGUGGCGAAGGCGGCCCCCUGGCACAAUACUGACGCUCAGGUGCGAAAGCGUGGGGAGCAAAACAGGAUUAGAUACCCUGGUAGUCCACGCCGUAAACGAUGUCUACUAGAUGUUCGUGGUCUUGUACCGUGAGUAUCGCAGCUAACGCAUUAAGUAGACCGCCUGGGGAGUACGGUCGCAAGAUUAAAACUCAAAUGAA
rnacentral:rRNA from 1 species